GUUGGGAUAGCUCAGUUGGUAGAGCAGA
rnacentral:tRNA from 1 species